UUGCAGCCAGGUAAGCUGACCAUGCUCUUCCCCACGAGGGCCUGGUGUGCAAUGGCUGCAAACAGCAGUCUCCUCGGUAGUGUAUGCAGCCUGUUGCCUGUAUAGGUUGCCCUAAGGGACCUUGGAGACAGCU